GUCAAUUUCUUGUAAAUUAAGGCAUUUUAAUUGAAGCUUCAAGCUUUUGUUCUGUCUUUGUCUCACAAGGAAGCUUGUUUCUUUUUUUUUCUUUUGGGUAAAAUUCUUGUUUUUUAUUAUAGUUAGAUGGAAGUGAGAGAAUAAAACAUAUAAGCCUUAAUUAUCGAAAGGAGUGUCCAGCCUGUAACUUUUAUUACUAAUUAGGUACUUGCAAAAUUACAUGCAUUUUCACUCCUUAUUGGACGUGGGAAUGGGAUUAAGCCUAUUCUCUUUACCUUGGUUGUAACAUUUGUAAGCGUAUAUAAGUUUUUUUUCCCCUGCUCCAGACCUUGUUCCUGUAACACAAUUCAUUUCAUAUUGUGUUAGUAUAUGGAGGUGUUUUUUUAAAAAAAUUUAAUUUAAUUUAUUUUUUAUUGGGUGGUGGAAGAGGGAGUGGUAAAUAUUUGUUUGUUAAUCACAUCAUUUCAGUAGUAGUAAUGGGGAGUGAAUGGUUAAUGGACGUACUGUGAAUUGAACCACUUCAAUUGACCUUUUACUCUUGAUGACGAUGACUUCAACCUGUAAUGUUGUUGUCUCCUUGUGAGUAACACCAAUAUAGUUAUCUGGAUGGUUUCUAUUUGUCUUUUAUCACUGUUAUGUUAUGUUUUCUCGUUCUGGUCUUUGAUAAUUUUGGUUGGAGGGAAAUAAAUUGUUCAGAUGACAUUAACAAAAACGUUAGUGGUGCAGAUUUCAGAAUGUAUGUUUUACACAAUUGACAAGAUUUUCAUUUCUCAAAUAUCCCUGGUUGGUUCAUAUGCUCUAGUGGGUUCCACACAAGUUGUCUUUUUUCCUACUCUUUCUGUUUAUAUGCAACUUUUGCCCAUUUGGGAUUUAUGGGAAAUUGAAUUUACCUGAAGAUAUUGGGGAAAAAAAAAUACAGAUAGAUUUUUCUGGCCAUGGAUGAAAAUUCUGUUGAAAAUCCUUUUCUUUUCAGGAGAGCUGCUGAUAGUGUGAAGAAAACACCUCUCUUUUUUGUUAUGGGCCAAGUCUUAAGUUUGUAAUACGGCUUAUUUUCCUCUUCCCAGCACAGUUUGUCAAUGAAGUUUUGAGAAAUGGACUCAAUUGAGCAGUGGAACUUUUUUUGGGAUUACAGGUUGGUACUUUGAAUAACUUGUUCUUCUCCAUUUUCCCACCCUCUACCCCCUUUCCCCCCUCCCCAACAUGAUUCUUAUCUGCUUGGUGGCCACUGGUGUUUCAAACAGCAGGAAGUAUAUUCAUGGUUUACAGUGGCCCAGAUUUUGUUAUUGCAUACCUUUCCAUAGCCUAUCUCAUCAUCUCUAGGGAAGAGGAGCUCCAUGAGUAUGUAUUUCAUUUUUUUCUGUGCUAACCAGUGAAUUGAAUCUUUGUCUUCCAUUUGUAUUUUGAGCUUAACCUUUUAACUAAAUGGAUAGCUUGUUUUGUAAUUUAGAACCUUUCUUUGUAGGAGGAAGGCCUCAACAAAACCAAGAUUUUGCUUGUGGACUUUCCCUGUUCUUGUAUAGUUAAACUUGUGCAAUCAUGGUCGGUGAUUAGCUGUGAAUAAGUAAUGGACUUUAACUCAGUAAAGGAAAAGAUACAACAAAACUUUUUGAUGGUGUUUAAAAUUCUUAGUAUGAAAUUAGUUUAUUAUGUCACAAUGGUUACUUAUGUUGAACACCUUUUGUGGCUACACUAUUCUUAUGUUAAUAUUUCUAGAUGGUUUGCUGUUUGGUUUCAGUGUAUUUACAUAAAUUAUUCAACCCUUAACUUUGUCA